rnacentral:lncRNA from 1 species
UGGCUUCUAACACCUAGGUGUCAUAAUGAUUUUGAUUUUGUAGCUGUUGCAUUUCCUCCUCUUGGAAAAUUCGAGGUCCCUGAUUUGUCCUUCUAACUUACCUAUUUUGGCCCUGUAGUUUUCUUCAUUUGCCAACCAUCCCCACUGCUCUUGUGAGUAGUUAGUGAAUUGUUGAACGUGGGCUCAGUUAGCAUGUCUUUCAGGAAUCUGAAACCUUUUAUCGAACCAAACAAUAUAUUUCGGGUCUACCUCACCUCUAGCUAGAUCCCGCACCAUAGUCUUAGGUUUAAGAAAUCUGCAUUCAGUCCACACCUGGAGAAUUCUUCCUGCUGCAAAUACAACAUUUGGGCCCAAUUCGACAUCAUGUCUACUCAAAUCUCUGUCAUGGGGAAUGGUUUGAAAUCUACCCUGUUGGUGCAAAACCCUGUGAGGAGCAUAUGGUUGGAUACUACGGAUGCCCAUUAGGAGAAGAUAACACACUUAGGCUGGCAUGUAUACUGCAUCUGUGACAGGAAUACAUCCAAAUGCCCACUCAAUUCUAUCUACACUCAAACAGCUCUUUAACUUGAGCACGAACGGUUCAAAACAAAUGGGGA